GUGCUCAUUUCGGCAGCACAUGCGAAAAUGGUGACUGUGCAGAGAUUAGCAUGACCUCAGGUGCAAGGAUGACACACAAACUCGUGAAGCAUCCCAUGGCUUU
rnacentral:snRNA from 1 species